AUUCUGGGCGUAAGCGCAUGCAGGUGGUUCAUUAAGUCAGAUGUGAAAGCCCGGGGCUCAUCCUCGGAACUGCAUUUGAAACUGGUGAACUAGAGUGCUGUAGAGGGGGGUAGAAUUUCAGGUGUAGCGGUGAAAUGCGUAGAGAUCUGAAGGAAUACCAGUGGCGAAGGCGGCCCCCUGGACAGACACUGACACUCAGAUGCGAAAGCGUGGGGAGCAAACAGGAUUAGAUACCCUGGUAGUCCACGCCGUAAACGAUGUCUACUUGGAGGUUGUGGCCUUGAGCCGUGGCUUUCGGAGCUAACGCGUUAAGUAGACCGCCUGGGGAGUACGGUCGCAAGAUUAAAACUCAAAUGAAUUGACGGGGGCCCGCACAAGCGGUGGAGCAUGUGGUUUAAUUCGAUGCAACGCGAAGAACCUUACCUACUCUUGACAUCCAGAGAAGCCAGCGGAGACGCAGGUGUGCCUUCGGGAACUCUGAGACAGGUGCUGCAUGGCUGUCGUCAGCUCGUGUUGUGAAAUGUUGGGUUAAGUCCCGCAACGAGCGCAACCCUUAUCCUUGUUUGCCAGCGAGUAAUGUC
rnacentral:rRNA from 1 species